AACACCUAGGGAAGAAAUGAUGCUUGUCACUUGCAGCUGAGGGGACAGAGAGUCCUAGGCAGAAGGACAGCUCAAGCAAAGGCUGAGACAGGAGCAAUCUCAGCCCCAGGAAGAGGAAAGUGGCCCAUGUGGUUGGAGCAGUGGAAGAAAGGAGGGCACAGGGGGGCUCACUGAGGCUCACAGCGGGAGACAUUUCACCAAGUUAUCCUGAGAAGCUCUGAGGUCACAGAGCAGCGUGGCAACUGGGAUUACAGAGCGAGACUCCAUCUCAAAAAAAGAAAGAAAGAAAAAAGCAUUGUCAAAACCUAAUAACUGCAACACUAUAUCCUGAGCAGCUGAAUCUGCAAUCAUCUUUUUAAGAGACUUCUGUAACCAAGCUAUAAAAUCAACGUAUGGUUCUCUUGGUCCCUGUUUCAUAGCACUAAAGGAAGGGUACUGUUCUCCACAUGAAGUGAUUUGUUCCCAAGCUCUAAUGCACACUCCUCUAAGCUGUUCUGUGGCAUCAUCCUGCAUGACCAGUUGUGCACCUAAGCCAGCCCAGCCGCCAACCCCCAAAAGCUGGUCUGCAGUUAUAUUAAUUUGAGGUUGGGCCUGGGCAUUGCGAGCAGCCUGAAUGGAAGCUUCAUCUGCCCACCAAGUUUUAAAUUGUAAGAACUGAGCAGGAGUUAGAUAAGCUCAAGUAAGACAGUCCCAGUCAGUAGGUAUCAUCCGACUGGAAACAGCAACAUUCUUUAAUAGUCCCAUUACAAAAGGAGAACCUGGUCCAUACUGAUUUAUAAUUUGUUUAAAUUCUUUGAGUAAUUUAAAAAGAAAAGGCUCAAAUGUAGCUGUAAUAUUUCCCUGUUGAUCUGGGGGGUAUACUCGAACAGGGAACUGCCAAGUCUCUAAAUCACCCUCUCUUCUAGCUUGCUGAAUUCCUGCCUGAAUAGAACUAAGAGCGAUUGCUUGAGGCACUGCUCAAACAGUCACUGGGGCAACUCCUUUUCACCCAGUGUUCUCCAGAAAAGAAAGAUCUGGAAGGUCAUUUUCUUCAAAAUAAUAAUGAGGGGGUGCAGAAAGGUAGGGAUGAACCUCUUCCUCUUUUGCCGCUUUAGCUUUAGCUGGCAAAUAAACCUGCUCUGUAACCUCUUCUGUCACUUCCUCCUCAUCAUAACUGUGAAUAAGUUCCAAGGUGGAACGAACCAGACCCCACACCUGUCCCACUGUUACCCUGAGGCUUCUGAGCUCCUGUUGUUACUCACCACAGGGAUUGCUUUAAGAGUACUUGGGUGUCCUCCAGCUAGUUUUCCAUUCCAACUGUUGCUCCGGUGACCCUUCAACCUGGAUUCGAGCCCCCACGAAGGUACGCCACUUGCCGAGACCAGCUCGGUCAGGGAGACCCUAACCCAGUGGUGCUACAGGAAUGAAAGACACACACACAGAAAUAUAGAGGUGUGAAGUAGGAAAUCAGGGGUCUCACAGCCUUCAGAGCUGAGAGUCCCGAACAGAGAUUUACCCACGCAUUUAUUAACAGCAAACCAGUCAUUAGCAUUCUUUCUAUAGACAUUAAAUUAACUAAAAGUAUUCCUUAUGGGAAACGAAGGGAUGGGCCAAAUUAAAGGAAUAGGUUGGGCUACUUAACUGCAGCAGGAGCAUGUCCUUAAGGCACACAUCUCUCAUGCUAUUGUUUGUGGCUUAAGAAUGGCUUUAAGUGGUUUUCCACCCUGGGCUGGCCAGGUGUUCCUUGCCCUCAUUCCCGUAAACCCACAACCUUCCAGCAUGGGUGUUAGGGCCAUUAUGAACAUGUUACACUGCUACAGAGAUUUUGUUUUUGGGGGGCUUGCUCCCAACAAGUUUGGCCUUCCCACCUCUAUACAUUCCAAUAACGGACCAGCCUUUAUUAGGCAAAUCACCCAAGCAGUUUCUCAGGCUCUUGGUAUUCAGAGGAACCUUCAUACUCUUUACCGUCCUCAAUCUUCAGAAAAGGCAGAAUGGACUAAUGGUCUUUUAAAAACACACCUCACCAAGCUCAGCCACCAACUUAAAAAGGACUGGACAAUACUAUUACCACUUGCCCUUCUCAGAAUUAGGGCCUGUCCUUGAAAUGCUACGGGGUACAGCCCAUUUGAGCUCCUGUGUGAAUGCUCCUUUUUAUUAGGCCCCAGUAUCAUUCCAGACACCAGAGCAACUUGGAAUGUGCCCCAAAAAACUUGUCAUCCCUAAUAUCUUCUGUCUAGUCAUACUUCUGUCUAGUCUAUUCACCCUUCUCAACUACUCAUAAAUGCCCUGCUCUUCUUUACACUGCCAGUUUACACUGUUUCUCCAAGCCAUCACAGCUGGUAUCUCCUGGUGCUAUCCCCAAACCACCACUCUUAACUCUUAAAGUAAAUAAAUAAUCUUUGCUGGCAAGGCUAUGCUGAACCUCCUUAGGCACUCUCUAAUUGGAUGUCCUGGGUCCUCCCAAUUCUUAGUCUUUUAAUACCUGUUUUUCUCCUUCUCUUAUUCUGUUUAGUUUUCAAUUCAUACAAAACUGUAUCCAGGCCAUCACCAAUAACUGUAUAUGACAAAUGUUUCUUCUACCAACCCCACAAUAUCACCCCUUACCACAAAAUCUUCCUUCAGCUUAGUCUCUCCCACUCUAGGUUUGCACGCCGCCCCUAAUCCCUCUCAAAGCAGCCCUGAGAAACAUUGCCCAUUCUCUCUCCAUACCACCCCCAAAAAUUUUUGCCGCUCCAAGACUUCAACACUAUUUUGUUUUAUUUUUUAUUUAAUAUAAGAAGACAGGAAUGUCAGGCCUCUGAGCCCAAGUUAAGCCAUCAUAUCGCCUGUGACCUGCAGGUACACAUCCAGAUGGCCUGAAGUAACUGAAGAAUCACAAAAGGAGUGAAAAUGGCCUGUUCCUGCCUUAACUGAUGACAUUACUUUGUGAAAUUCCUUCUCCUGGCUCAGCCUGGCUCAAAAGCUCCCCCACUGAGCACCUUGUGACCCCCGGCCCUGCCCUCAAGAGAACAACCCCCUUUGGCUGUAAUUUUCCUUUAUGUACCCAAAUCCUAUAAAACAGCCCCACCCCUAUCACUCCCGCUGAUUCUCUUUUUGGACUCAGCCUGCCUGCACCCAGGUGAAAUAAACAGCCUUGUUGAUCA